CUGCUACUGGAACCACUGCUCUUGGGACUGCUACUAGAACCACUGCUCUUGGGACUGCUACUGGAACCACUGCUCUUGGAAAUGUUACCAGAGUCACUGCUCUUGGGACUGCUACUGGAACCACUGCUCUUGGGACUGCUACUAGAACCACUGCUCUUGGGACUGCUACUGGAACCACUGCUCUUGGAAAUGUUACCAGAGUCACU